UACGAAGGGGGCUAGCGUUGCUCGGAAUUACUGGGCGUAAAGAGCUCGUAGGCGGCUUGUCACGUCGUUUGUGAAAGCCCGAGGCUUAACCUCGGGUCUGCAGUCGAUACGGGCUAGCUAGAGUGUGGUAGGGGAGAUCGGAAUUCCUGGUGUAGCGGUGAAAUGCGCAGAUAUCAGGAGGAACACCGGUGGCGAAGGCGGAUCUCUGGGCCAUUACUGACGCUGAGGAGCGAAAGCGUGGGGAGCGAACAGG
rnacentral:rRNA from 1 species